rnacentral:rRNA from 1 species
AACCUCCGCAAUGUGAGAAAUCGCGACGGGGGGAUCCCAAGUGCCAUUCUUAACGGGAUGGCUUUUCAUUAGUGUAAAGAGCUUUUGGAAUAAGAGCUGGGCAAGACCGGUGCCAGCCGCCGCAGUAACACCGGCAGCUCUAGUGGUAGCUGUUUUUAUUGGGCCUAAAGCGUUCGUAGCCGGUUUGAUAAGUCACUGGUGAAAUCCUGUAGCUUAACUGUGGGAAUUGCUGGUGAUACUGUUGAACUUGGAGGUCGGGAGAGGUUAGCGGUACUCCCAGGGUAGAGGUGAAAUUCUGUAAUCCUGGGAGGACCACCUGUGGCGAAGGCGGCUAACUGGAACGAACCUGACGGUGAGGGACGAAAGCUAGGGGCGCGAACCGGAUUAGAUACCCGGGUAGUCCUAGCCGUAAACGAUGCGGACUUGGUGUUGGGAUGGCUUUGAGCCGCUCCGGUGCCGAAGGGAGCUGUUAAGUCCGCCGCCUGGAAGUACGGUCGCAAGACUGAAACUUAAAGGAAUU